GACAGAGGGUGCAAACGUUGUUCGGAAUUACUGGGCGUAAAGCGAGUGUAGGCGGUUCGGUAAGUCGGAUGUGAAAGCCCCGGGCUCAACCCGGGAAGUGCACUCGAUACUGCCGAGCUAGAGUAUCGGAGAGGUUGGUGGAAUUCUCGGUGUAGAGGGUGAAAUUCGUAGAUAUCGAGAGGAACACCGGUGGCGAAGGCGGCCAACUGGACGAAUACUGACGCUGAGAACUCGAAAGCGUGGGGAGCAAACAGG
rnacentral:rRNA from 1 species